rnacentral:pre_miRNA from 1 species
UAUAAUGUUUGACUCUUUAUUUUAUUUGAAUUUCUUUAAUCAAUAUAUUUGUUGUUACUAGAUGAUAAAACAUGAACAAUAAUUUAUGUGUGACUAAUUUUUUAAAAGUUUUUCUAGAAAUUUUUUAAUAAGACGAAGGGUCAAAUGUUGGAUACAGAAA